CAUCCUUCUGCUUCCUCUUCUCCUUUCCUCUUCGUCAAACCUCCGUUUCUUCAGACGAGAUAGUCUUCUCAUCUUCCAUUCCUUCCUCAAUCUCACAUAAUUAUAUAUUCACCCAUAAAGUCACUUACAAUAGAUCGAUUUGAUUAUUUGAUUCAAUUUCAUAACCUCCACUUCAGUUCCAAAUGCAAUUUCCCAGUUUAAAAAUUUACAUCGACUCGGGAGUACUCCGGUUAAUCAUGGGGUUUGGGAUUUCCGUCUAACCAUGUAUCAGAUCCAUGUUUGUUUCAUCAUCCUUCAAAACAGAGAAAAAUGAGUGGUACUAUGGUGAAGAAGGCCUCAAACCCUAACCAAAUCACAACCGGAGCUGAACGCAAGAGAUCUUUAGAACCAGGAUGGAAAAUCUGCUAAAUUAACCAAGGUGACGUUCAUUAAACGCAAGAGCUUCAUCAUAAAAUUGCUAUAACCAUGAAGUCUGCUAAAUCCACCGAAAAGGGUGUUCAGGAAAGAGAAGAUAAAUUGAGUUAUAUUUAGUUAUGUAGAGCAUCAUGUUUCACAGUGCCUUGAACAAGACAUGAACCAAGAUCGCUUGGUCUCAUGGAGCCAACAUAGCGAAACUGAUAAAUAGGAAAGAAGGCUGAUCAUCAGCAGGACACAAGGACAACAAGAAGAGAGGACACUAGAGACCAAAUGGGUUACUAAAACAAUUCUGAAGCAACAUAAAUGUACCAGUUGGAACUACAAAGAGGCAAGAGAGACAAGAGGAAUUAUUAUAUAUGAAAUAAGAAUCGCUGAAGGUGUAAACGGCAAAAGAGAGAAAGGGAUCAUACGUGACAGGUGGGGAUACCAGAAUUUCAUGAGGCGUUCAUUGAAGCUAUUAAUCAGCUCGGCAGUAGUAGUCUUUGUAUAACUAUGUUUUUUCUUUCACCGGAGAACCUCAAAAGAUGUUGAUCACAUCUAUCGAAAACAUAAAAUCUGACUGCAUAACAAGCCUGAAAUAUUUUCUUCGUAUUUGUUUAGAAAUUUGAUUGUUAUAUGGUCACUUACUUAUGUGUUUUAAGUUUUUCACUCUUCAAGAGGAGCAUUGGGAUCACACAAGUUCUAAGGCUACAAAUGGAAGUUCACAAACUUCACCUCGAGCAGUUCGAGCAGGUUUGACAGUGAAGUAUUAACACCGGUUACAGUACAAGCACAUGAGGUAAUCAGAUUUCAUUUUUACAUUUUGAGUAGUUUGUGUUCUCAUAUUGAAAUAACUGUUUAUUUUGAUUCCAACGUUCCUGAAAAACCGAGCUCAAGCUUUCACUAGAUAAAUAAAACACCAAGCGAAAAGCUAAGGAGAGAGACCUCUACAAGAGGAACCUUCUGUCUUUGUUGAUAGGCAGUGAUCAUCAACACAAACGAACAAAAAUACUCUCUUGAUCAUGGGGAGAGAUUUCAGAGCUUCUUACCCAGUCUUCGCUGCUUAAAAUGGAAUCCAUGUGUUGUUCUCCAUGUACCUCAGAUUUAUGGGCAAAUCUACAGCCUAUGAGUUUUAUGGCUUUGAAGAAAAGAAACACAGAUUAAUAUCUGAGGAAGCAAAAGCCACGAAUGUGUUCCACAUUGUCACAUACGUUUAGGAUCGAUGACAAUAUGGCGACGCUGAAGACUUUCACCCUACAAGUAAAAGCGUUGUGAAGUGCUUUCCAGACAAACAAUUUAACUUUUGGUGCUGCUUUGAUGUUUCCUUAUACCAGUUGGUUUGAUGAUUCUGAGAAGUUAUGGACUCUUGAUCUUUUCAUUCCAGCGCAGAAAGAUACCCAGAUUUAGUGCUAUAAUCUCCUGAUGGAAGCAACACCAGUCUGUCCGGAGCCCCGACCAAGCUUGGUUUGAUGAGUCUUAUACUCUGUUACUCUGUUGGCAAUACUCUUCAAUCGAAGCAAACUCAACAUAGGCAAAUUCACAGAAACGGCCAUCGCGUCCUAUAGCCAUUGUAACAUUAACAACUUGGCCAGCUUAUUUGAAGAAGUUCCUCGCUGAAGGAAAACAAUAGUAAAGUCAAUGGAAAACUUUCAAAAAAUUAACCAAAGGUGUGUGUGUGUGUGUGUUUUUUUAUAACCAAAGGUGUGUUAUAGUUGCAUAUCUAAUCUUUGACAAUUGAUAUAUGAGAUUCCAACGUACAAGUGUGGUUCCAACGUACAAGUGUGGUUCCAAUGUUUUCUGGAAAUGGUGACAUGUAUUGUUUGUUGUUCUAAAAGUAUUGUCUUUAUUAAGUUUAUUGAAAAUAAUUUUUUUUUUGGCA